rfam:Fukomys damarensis contig120520, whole genome shotgun sequence.
GGGGAUGUAGCUCAGUGGAAGAGCACUUGCCUAGCAUGCAUGAGGCCCUGGGUUCCACACACAUCAUCAGCA